GUGCUCACUUUGGCAGCACAUAUACUAAAACUGUAAUGAUACAGAGAAUAUUAGCAUGGCCCUACAGAAGGAUAAUAUACAAAUUCAUGAAGCAUUCCAUUCAAGA